GUGUACAAGGCCCGGGAACGUAUUCACCGCGGCAUUCUGAUCCGCGAUUACUAGCAAUUCCAUCUUCAUGCAGGCGGGUUGCAGCCUGCAAUCUGAACUGGGACCGUUUUUUGAGAUUCGCUUCACCUCGCGGUGUCGCUGCCCUCUGUUGACGGCCAUUGUAGUACGUGUGUAGCCCAGGUCAUAAGGGGCAUGAUGAUUUGACGUCAUCCCCGCCUUCCUCCGUUUUGUCAACGGCAGUCUGUCUAGAGUGCUCUUGCGUAGCAACUAAACAUAAGGGUUGCGCUCGUUGCGGGACUUAACCCAACAUCACACGACACGAGCUGACGACAACCAUGCACCACCUGUCUGCAUGUCCCCGAAGGGAACUCUGUACUUCUACAGAUGGCAUGCGAUGUCAAGACCUGGUAAGGUUCUUCGCGUUGCUUCGAAUUAAACCACAUACUCCACUGCUUGUGCGGGCCCCCGUCAAUUCCUUUGAGUUUCAACCUUGCGGUCGUACUCCCCAGGUGGAUUACUUAUUGUGUUAACUCCGGCACGGA
rnacentral:rRNA from 1 species